AUGCCCUGUAAUCCAAAGUUCCGACGCCCUAGGAUGGAUCUGCGGCCGAUUAGGUUGUUGUUGGGGUAAUGGCCCAACAAGCCCGUAAUCGGUACGGGUUGUGGGAGCAAGAGCCCGGAGUUGGAUUCUGAGACACGAAUCCAGGCCCUACGGGGCGCAGCAGGCGCGAAAACUUUACAAUGCGGGCAACCGUGAUAAGGGAACCUCGAGUGCCUGUAAAUGCGGGCUGUUCAGGUGCCUAAAAACACACCUGAAAGGAAAAGGGCCCCCGGGGCCAAAGGAA
rnacentral:rRNA from 1 species